GUUCUGGAAGCCUACACGUGCUGUGUGACUCAACCACUGAUAACCAUGAAGCACAAACACAAUUUUAUUUUAAGUACAUGCAUACAUAAUUCCGCGCUCUGAAGUCAAGAACUGAAACGGAGCAACAAACAGCAGCAGGAAAAUUCAAAACACCACAGUGAACGUAACAGAGAGAGUGUGAGAGAGAGAGGGUGGGCAGAGCCGUAAGCGAGAGAGCACGAGAACUGAAGAGAGAACUGAGAGAAAAAUGCCGGCUUUAGCACAGUGAGGCAACAACGAGUAAUAAAACGACAAAAAU